rnacentral:lncRNA from 1 species
UUUUUUUUUUUUUUUUUUUCAAAUUAGAAUCAGGAAUUCCCAUUGUGGCUCAGUGGUAAACAAAUCUGACAAGCAUCCAUGAGGACGCAAGUUCGAUCCCUAGCUUCGCUCCAGUGGGUUAGAGAUCCGGUGUUGCCGUAAGCUGUGCUGUAAGUCGCAGAUGCGGUUUGGAUCUGGUGUUGCUGUGGCUGUGGUGUAGGCUGGCAGCUACAGCUCCAAUCUGACCCCCUAGCCUGGGAACCUCCAUAUGCCGCAGGUGUGGCCCUCAAAAGAUAAAAUAAAAUAAAAUAAAAUAAAUUAGAAUCACUCACCUGGUGUCUGGACUUACCGAAGCUCAGGUUCUUUGUGUCUCAGCGCAGAAGGAAUUCAGCAAGAGAUGAAGUGAUAGGCAAGAAAUAGACUUAUUAAGAUAGGACACUUGUGAUAGAUGCAAGUGGGCAGGUGAUUAAGCUCUGCCCUGAGCAUUCGGUGGACUACAUUUUUAUAACCCAAGGAAAGCGGGAAGGGGGAAGUGACUGCCUCUCCCUCUUACACCAUUGGCUCCUCCUUCGGAUCGGGUUAGAGAGUAUUUGACCCUGUGAGGUCAAAGGAGACUGUCCUGGCCCUUAGUCAGGUCAGCAGGAGGGUGGUAACAGAUGCUAAUAUAUGUUGAAUCAUCUCAGGUUUCCGUAUAAUGAGGGUCUCCUCCUUGGGAUGUCAUCUUUCCCUGAAAUUCCUGUCUUAGAUCCUGAGGAUCAUUAUCUUGCCGAACUUGAAUGCAGGCCUCAUUGAAUCUUUCACUUAAUGACCUGAGGCAUAUCUCAUGCUUUUAUUUAUGAUUUUAUUGUUAAGCAAGCCUGCUUUGUUCAACAAUCUAAUAGCUUUCUUGAGUGAUUAUUAACUUACAGUGGUCUCCCAAAGUUCCCUAGGUUUCCCUGUCUGUGGUCCCCUCCUGGGAUUUCUACAACCGCCUGUGCCUCUAUUUGCAUCACUACCAGCACCACUCCUGCCUAUGUUAAGGAGAAAGUCCUAAUAUUUUCUAAGAAAUCUUUCUUUUUUUCUCUCUCCCUCCUGAUGUCUGAAAACCGGGUUUGCUGCUUGGUGGGUGCCAAGCCAAAAGACACAACCAAGCCAACCAUCAGGAAGAGAAGGAUUUAUUAUCACUUGCAGCAAGUAAGGAAAACACUGGGGAUCUUUUCCCAAGCAGUGUCUGCCUGAAUACAAAAUUUGGGAAGGUUUAAGCUAAGGGAACAGGCAUGCUCCUGAAGGGGCUUGAGCAGAGGAGAAUUCAGCAUAGAAUCACAGCAUAGGUUGACUGAGUCCAAGCUUUAGUUGACUGAGGUCAGGGGGCUCAGCAAAGUUGACAUCACCGGGGGUGUGGGGGGGUGAUGGUGGUGGUGGCAGAGGGGAGAGUUAGUUUCUGCAGAACAAUUCAAAGAUAUCUAUCAGAUUGCUAUGGAAAAAUCCCUUGAGGAGUAACAAGGACUCUUUUUUUUUUUUUUCUUUCACUAAACCAUUGUUUCUUGAUUGUUUUUCCUUCGUUCCUCCAUUUUCUCACUCGCCUUAAGAUCUUUAAUUACUAAGACUUUUCAAGGGCAAGCAUUGGGGCCAGGAUUAGACUACAAAAUGUCUUAGGCCAAAAAUGGCUUCUCUUCUGUCAAGAAAACCAAUUUUGGUUCUCUUUCUCCUGGAACCCCCUACCCUAUCUGUUUACAAAAUCUCUAGGGGCAGUCCCUCGCCCCAUGAGAACAGCUUUUAGUACCAUCUCCUUCAAGCCCUUUUCAAAGGGACCCGUCGGAAACCCAGCUCAACUCUGUGCACAUUUAAACUCCGUGCUGUGGAUGGACCCUGCUGGGGCCGGAGAAGAGGAGACCCAGCAGAGAACCUGACCUAACCAGGAACUGUGCCUCUUUUCUCCUGGGUAGUCCUUUUCUUUCUCUCUUUCUUUCUUUCUUUUUUUUUUUUUUUUUUGGUCUUUUUAGGGCCAAACCCACAGCACAUGGAAGUUUCCAGGCUAGGAAUCGAAUCAAAGCUGCCGCUGCUGGCCUACACCACAGCCACAGCAAUGUGGGAUCUGAGCUGCAUCUGAGACCUACACCACAGCUCACAGCAACGCCAGAUCCUUAACCCACUGAGCGAGGCCAGGAGUUGAACCUGCCUCCUCAUGGAUGCUAGUUAGAUUUCUUUCUGCUGAGCCACAACGGGCACUCCCGGAGGACCUUUUCUUUAGAUCUCUGAAUUGACUUUCCAUAUCAGGACCACCUGCCCUAGAGUCCUAAGAUGUGGCUGAAUGUGACUUCUCUGAGCCCUUCCCAGCGCUGCAGGGAGCAUACUUAUCUAAACACCAGGGGCCUGAUAACAUCCAGGUCUCUUAGGUAUUUUCUUUCCAUCUCAUUGUCUUUUUUGUUGUUGUUACUAUUGCAUUUGUUUGUUACUCUUUGUUGUUACUAUUGCAUUUUUAUAAAAUGACAGCAGCUAAAUUUAUGUAUCAUGCUGCUUACACGUUCCCUUUUAAAGAAAGCUAAUCUCAAUUUCUGUUUUUACUGAGAGCAUUCUAAUUAAACACAGGCUGAUAAAACCUCAACCAGACCCUUAGGCCUCGUGCAAGUCUGAUCUUCCCAAUCUAGUCGGCUGAGACCUGAUUGCCUUUAUUUCCAAGUUCAGAGGUAUAUAGGUAAACAAAGAUUAAAAUGGCCUUGUGGUGAAUAUGCAUGAGCCUAUAAAAUGCAAGUAUAAAUUGUAUUGUAAAGAGCAAUAAAGUUUUUUUCCUGUUUCUUGAAUGCUUAGCCGCAUUAUAAAGACAUGAGCAUAUUGUCAUAUUUCAGUGAGCUGCAGUCUUACCAUGUGAUAUGCUUAAUUAUUUUCAAGGUCAUUUCUUUUUAUAAAAUCUGGGCAAGCUGUAAAAUGUCAAACAGCCCAUAAGUAUAGAAUGCACACCUAUUUUCAUCAUCAUUUUAUAGUCACACAUAUAGUUGUGGUUUUGAAUUUCCAAGUCACAACCAGUCAUUGAGUAUAAAAGUCACAAUAAUUUAUAAUAUUAGGAACAUGCCAUUCAUUAUCUCACCAACCAUUAAUGUUCCAAGGAUCUUUUCAGAUGAAAGAAUGCCAAAAAAAUAAUGGAUGUGCUCUGCGAGUAUGAAUAUUUAAAGCAUCAGGUUAACAAUACAGAUGGAGGUGAUUAACUGUGCAAUAGUAGCUACAAUAAGAUAAAUGUAAUUGAGGCAUCCAGCUGAAGGGAUUAUGUACUUAGCCCCUAAGCCACUUAGGAUAUAGAUGAAGUACAUUGCCGGCACCCUACCACUUCAGCUGAAAAUGUUUUCCUUGUACAGAGCAAAUACUAGUCACAUAAGAUCUUCAAUAUAAGUUGUGAUUAUAACUCUUAAAUAGGAAGUCCAGCUUAUUCAUCAGGCAGGUAUAUGUUCAGAUCCUGACAUGCAUUAACCUCUGCCUCUGGGGCAACCCUCACAUUUUACUGUGCUUGAGAACUUGAGGUGAGUCUUAGCUAGGCAUCAAAUGAAGAAAUCUGAUCUCAAGAUUCAGAUUUUUGCUGCCACCAGCUGUUAAGAAGCGCUAGUGAUUUUGUAAUGAUGCCUGGAAGCCAUGGACUCCUCAGCAUUGUAUCAGUUUUGAUUGAGAGGUAACACAAACAAAUUCAGAGUCUUAUAAAUAGGAGAUACACAUUUUAAAUGAUCCACAGCAUUCACAGCCCCUUUAUACGUUUACAAAAACCAAUGUACCUUGGGUGGCAGUGCCAUGCAGAUCAUUUGGCUUCAGUUUUCGGAAAUACUUCUCUGUAUGAAUGGCUUUAGCCCAGGCUGUUUCUGAGGCAUGUUCUAGCCAGGAUGCAUGCCAGGGUCUGAGUUCCUUCCUUCCCCAGUAACACCCCCACCCCCGUAUGCUUCUUCUCUUGAGCUUAACCUAAUUCUGGGGGGUUCUCUUGGAGUACUUGAGCUGAGAAUCUCCCUGUGUUUAGUCAGCUUGGAGAUGCUGCCUCUUUAGUUGACUCAUUUCUGUCUGGUGUUAUUACUUCACUGUUGCUCUUUUUCAAUUUAGAAACAUUGCUUCCACAGAUGUAGCCUGUGUAGUUAGUCCUUCUCUGACAGAUUCAGGAAGGAAAAAUAAUUCAGUUUAGCCAAUUGGAUACACUGCAGUUCAACCUCACUCACUUGUACUGGGAGCUCAUGGCUCCAGCCGCCUUGUCCUCUUCUCUGUUCCUGAGACUCUGCAGACUCUUUCAGGCUGCACACAGGCUUUUAUCACUGUAACGAUCAUCUUUUCACGCUCUGCUAACCAGCAUGGACACACACACACACACACACACAGUCGCUAACAAACGCCUACUUCCAAAGGUAACCUACCCUAGUCCAUAUACACUCAUAUUAGCAAAUCUCCCACCUCCGACCCAGACCCAGACCCGGGCUAUGUUAGGUUCCCUUAUUAAAGUAUGACACUCUCUGUGAUACUUUGUCAUUUUCCUCAAAAAGUGUUUAUCACAAUUAUAAUAUCGUAAACACGCAUUCCUCGGUUUCAUUCCACUAGGUUGGGAGCAGUGCUGGUUUUGCUCACGAGUAUAGUCCCAGGGCUUAGCACUGUGCCUCCUGUAUGAAGCACGAGACACAUAUUUGUUGAAUGAAAGAAUGUUCGCAUUUCACAAUUCGCAUUCAUCUUUUGGUUUGAAGGCCGCUGUUGGCUCAACUGGGGAAGGGUAAUAAGAGGGUCGGGUUGGAGCCUGAAAGAAUCAUAGCCACGUGUUGAAGGAAAAAUCAGGAUUUGGGAAGACAUAUUCCUGCCUGACAGUCAUUUGAAAUAGACUCUCCUUGGGUAGGUCUGUAUCUGAUUAUCUUUUUUUAGGCUUUGGAGUGAAAGCUUUUAGGUGGUGCAUUUAUUCUCAAGAAUGUAUGUAACAGUUGCUAUGUUGUAAGCCUGGUGCCACGCUCUGUGGUACAGCUCCUGGGGUGACAUAGGAGUAAAUUAGUGACUUUGGCAGAGCCCAUUGUGCUGGAAGGAGUAACCUCAGUGUGACGGGGACAUAGAUGUGGAGGCUGGGGGAGGCACCCGCGGCAUAUGGAGGUUCCUAGGCUAGGGGUCUAAUCGGAGCUGUUGCUGCAGGCCUAUGCCACAGCCACAGCAACGCCAGAUUCUUAACUCACUGAAUGAGGCCAGGGAUCGAACCCGCAACCUCAUGGUUCCUAGUUGGAUUUGUUUCUGCUGUGCCACGACAGGAACUCCUUGAAAUGCUUUUUGAAGUCUUCACAGAAGAUAGUUUUGUGGCAGCAGGUGCAGUGUGGAAAAGAGGGAACAGCCUGUGCCUGGGAAGGGGAGGAUGUAACCUGGCACUGGGAGGAGACAAGGCAGCCCAGUCCUGCUGGUGCUCAGGGGGCAGGUGGGGAGCAGCACAGGUGAGGCCAGACACCUGUUCAUGCACCAUUACCUGAACUAACUUACUGACACUUCCCCAGAGAAGAGAGGUCUCUGGAGGAAAACAGACCUUUUUAACUACUACAGUGCAAACAGUCCCUGGGGAGGUUUAGCUACACCAGGCUGCCAGCCAGGUACAUUUGUGUAUGCAGAUGACUCUGCUUUGAGGUGUGGGGUUGGGGGGUGCUGAGGGGUGAGGGGAGGGAACGAGGUUUACCUAAAGCACUCAUGAAAACUCGAGGCUGGUCUGAUGUCUUGUCUUGCAGCCUCAGUUUGCAGGGCCUUCCUGUUCGGGGUGAGAGGUGUAAGCAAACAGCCCCCCUUCCCUGUGUCUGCCUUAGAGAAACCAGAGGAGCUCUGCCAGGCCUCAUUGCAUUCUUGGAGGCUCACCAUCUCUUUUUUUUUGGCCUCACCAGGCGUGGGAAACUUCCCUGGCCAGGGGUCGAACCUGAGCCAUGGCAAUGACAAUGCCUAAUCCUUAACCCACUGUGCCACAUGGGAACUCCCUCACCAUCUCCUUUUUAUUCUUCCCAGAUUUUGAAUAGUGGCUUGUCCUGGGUGUGAUGUGAUCUCAGAGCAUUCCCCCAGCCCCUGCCCUCAAGAUUCACCUACAGAAUCCUCACUCCCUGCCGCCUCUUCCCUCCUUCGGGAACCUGGGAUGCACUGGAACCCUGAGAGAUUAACGUGAGGUUAGACAACAGCCAGCAGCCCUCCUAGCUCCCUGCUUGCUCCAUUCUCCUAGACCUCUUUAUUCUCUAAUUCCUCAGGAAACUCAAUUACCUUUGCUUCAUUAUGCAGAGCAAUUUAACUCUCAAACAUCCUUAGGCUCUGGGCCCACCUUUGCAAAUCCAGAAGCUCAUUAAUGUUUCACAGCACUGAGGAGCUGGCAGGAGCUUUGAAAUUUCUCUCUCUUUUUUUUUUUUUUCCUCCCCAGGUAUUUCAGAGUGAAAAGUAGCAAUAUCGAGAUUUAUUUUCCCACUAAUGUGAGUUUCACAUCCCCAAACCUCAAUGUCAGAAAGGGAUACAGUCAGUCUGGAUUUUAAGAUUUUUUUUUCUUCCCAUACAUAUUAGAUAAAGAGUCACAUAUUAGAUAAAGAGUCACGUGGAAAUUCCUCUAUCUAGAAUUCCAAAUUAAUGAAACGAUUAGAACAAAUAAAGGAACAGCCCUCAUAACAUGUGAGUGAAUAAGACAGUGGUAAUAACCAGCAUGGAUGUAGAAGGAUGAGUCCCAUCAGUUCAGUAUUCAGAGGCAUUGUUGUUUUUGUUUUGUCUUUUUGCCUUUUCUAGGGCCGCUUCCUGCGGCAUAUGGAGGUUCCCAGGCUAGGGGUCGAAUCGGAGCUGUAGCCGCCGGCCUACACCACAGCCACAGUAAUGCGGGAUCCUUAACCCACUGAGCAAGGCCAGGGAUUGAACCUGCAACCUCAUGGUUCCUAGUCGGAUUCGUUAACCACUGUGCCACGACGGGAACUCCAGUAUUCAGAGGCAUUGUUAAAAGUGGGGAAAUGAAGGCAGCAGAAGAGGUCGAGGGGUUAUGACCGUGAAUUUAGGAGUUACAGUCGGGUCCCCUCUCCUUCCUAACUCUGUGAAUCGAGGUCAGUCGGUUAACCUAAGAGUUGGCUUCCUUAUUUGUACAGUAGAAGCGAUACCCAUCCCCUUGGGUGGGGCGGGGGAGGGGGGGGCAGUUCCGUGAGGUUUGUAUGAAGAACACUCCUCCGUUCAGCACAUCCAGGACCAGGGGCCCUCAACGCCGUGGCUCUCAUCUCACUAACUCGUGUUCCCUACACUCCCACACGCUGGUCUGUUUCAUAAGCCAAGCUCAUGGUCACAUCGAUGGCUUUGCCCCUGCCACUGCCCUGGCUAGCAAGCCUCAGCAGACGCUGCUCCUCGCAGGCAGACUCAACCACGCUUCCUUCUUCCUGAGCCCUAGGUCGGGGGUCUGCGAAAAGGCCCGGUCCAGUUAAAAGCAUGCAGCUUUCCAGGCCGCCUUGCCGUAGCUGGGGGACAGUGUUCAGAGCGAAUGUCAGUUGAGGUGUAUGGGCAGGGCUUCUGGGAAAGCUUCUGUUUUCUAGUACGAAGGAACUGACUAGGCUGGCUGCACUUACACCCUUCCCCCGUCUCCGUUCUUCUACCAGAAUGCUGAUUUCCUGCUCAGUGAUAGACUAGCCCUCUGAGUGAGCAGAAGGAGGAAGGACCUACCCCACUGCGGGAAGGGAGCGCAGGUCUGCAGUUGCACUGAGGAACCCCUGUGGGAGGAGGAAUUCCCUGUUUGGAUAAACCAUUUUAUUGGGUAUUCUGUUGUAAGCAGCUAAAUUUAAUUCUGUUAUACAUGCUCUUCUCCCAC